UCCUUUGGUUCAUAAGCGUGAUGAUUGGGUGUUCAUGCUAUCAUGUGAGAUGUGCCUUCCUCUAAACAUUGUUACAACAUCUGCACAUUACCCACCUGAC
rnacentral:snoRNA from 1 species